rnacentral:rRNA from 1 species
UUCCGGUUGAUCCCGCCGGACCUGACUGCUAUCGGAUUGAUACUAAGCCAUGCGAGUCUUUGUAGUAAUACAAGGCAGACGGCUCAGUAACACGUAGUCAACCUACCCUAUGGACGAGAAUAAUCUCGGGAAACUGAGCAUAAUUCUUGAUAGAUCAUAAUGCCUGGAAUGGUUUAUGGUUAGAAUGAUUCGUCGCCAUAGGAUGGGACUGCGGCCUAUCAGCUUGUUGGUGAGGUAAUGGCCCACCAAGGCGAUUACAGGUACGGGCUCUGAGAGGAGAAGCCCGGAGAUGGGUACUGAGACACGGACCCAGGCCCUAUGGGGCGCAGCAGGCGAGAAAACUUUGCAAUGUGCGAAAGCACGACAAGGUUAAUCCGAGUGAUUUCUGCUAAAGAAAUCUUUUGCCAGUCGUAAAACCGCUGGUGAAUAAGGGGUGGGCAAGUUCUGGUGUCAGCCGCCGCGGUAAAACCAGCACCUCAAGUGGUCAGGAUGAUUAUUGGGCCUAAAGCAUCCGUAGCCGGCUUUGUAAGUUUUCGGUUAAAUCCAUGUGCUCAACGCAUGGGCUGCCGAAAAUACUGCAUAGCUAGGGAGUGGAAGAGGUAGACGGUACUCAGUAGGUAGGGGUAAAAUCCUUUGAUCUAUUGAUGACCACCUGUGGCGAAGGCGGUCUACCAGAACACGUUCGACGGUGAGGGAUGAAAGCUGGGGGAGCAAACCGGAUUAGAUACCCGGGUAGUCCCAGCUGUAAACGAUGCAGACUCGAUGAUGCAUUGGCAUAAUAGCCAUUGCAGUGUCGCAGGGAAGCCGUUAAGUCUGCCGCCUGGGAAGUACGUACGCAAGUAUGAAACUUAAAGGAAUUGGCGGGGGAGCACCACAAGGGGUGAAGCCUGCGGUUCAAUUGGACUCAACGCCGGA